GUGGGGAAUAUUGGACAAUGGGCGAAAGCCUGAUCCAGCAAUGCCGCGUGGAUGAAGAAGGUCUUCGGAUUGUAAAGUCCUUUCGACGGGGACGAUGAUGACGGUACCCGUAGAAGAAGCCCCGGCUAACUUCGUGCCAGCAGCCGCGGUAAUACGAAGGGGGCUAGCGUUGCUCGGAAUGACUGGGCGUAAAGGGCGCGUAGGCGGUUUGGUUAGUUAGGCGUGAAAUUCCUGGGCUCAACCUGGGGGCUGCGCUUAAUACAGCCAGACUAGAGUGUGAAAGAGGGUCGUGGAAUUCCCAGUGUAGAGGUGAAAUUCGUAGAUAUUGGGAAGAACACCGGUGGCGAAGGCGGCGACCUGGUUCAUUACUGACGCUGAGGCGCGAAAGCGUGGGGAGCAAACAGGAUUAGAAACCCGAGUAGUCC
rnacentral:rRNA from 1 species